GGAGAGUUGGCAGAGUGGACGAAUGCGAUGGUCUUGAAAACCAUAGGACCUGUAAGGGUUCCAGGGGUUCGAAUCCCCUACUCUCCUCCA
rnacentral:tRNA from 1 species